GGCAGCGAUCCCACGUCAACAUUGGGACGGAUUGUGAAUUCAGAGCUGAAUAAGGAUUCCAAAGAGGGGACACCGGCAUGGGGGCCGUUAAGUGCUGGGAGAGUUCGGAUACGAUGUUCCCUCGCAAAGCCCGUGUGACGGAGGAACUCUGAAAGGAAGGACUCAAGGUUCCAAGGGGCACGAUGGUGAAGCCGAUGUCAACAACGCAGCCAAACGUGGCUACACAGGACUCUAAGUAGAAAGGGAGGUUGCCCCCAAGAGUCUCUCAAGGGACCUAUCGGGCCGGGGAGAAGGUCCCAAGCCACGCCCACCUUGGAUGGGAAAAGCAACCUGGCUGGUGGUGACAGAACUCUUUGGAAUCCAACCCAGUCUCUGAGGACCGUGGGACACCCCCUCCCCCCGUCCCCACCCCCACCCCGAUACCCAAGAGAUCCAGGGCUAGACUUACCCUGGGAUCUUCUUCAUCGGGCGGGGGAGCCCUUGGCCCAACUGGGGCCCUCCGCUGCUUCUGGAGGGUCUGGGCUCUCACCAGUCUCUUGGCCCAAGAUGUGGGGUCCCGACGUGCCAUCAUCUUCGUCUCCUGGGGGUUUUAUGACCGCCUUUUUCAGGGGUGGACUGUUGGGCCACCUGAAACACACACAAACACACACAUGUCGAUGGUUAAGCACGUUGGAUAUUCACACACCCACAGGAAGCCACCUGCUAACUCCCUGCCUGUGUGGUCAUGAGGAGACCUCACCACCAGUCGGUCAAAUCUGUAGAACACAAUGUGCUGCGCGCAUCCUCGGAUAUUGUGUGUUCCUCUGCCAUGACUACCUAGUCCAAGAGUAAACCCCACCUGCCACAGGGCCCGUGGCCUAGGUAUGGGGGGUUGAGCUUUCAACCCCAAACAAACAACUGAUUCUGGAGACUGGACUUAGGUCUCUCACGAUUCACUCCGGUAGAAGACACGGUGAUUCUAUCUCCCUUGACGGACAGAAUGAUCGAAGACACAGGGCAUGGCGUGUGCCACCCUUUGGCAGGUCUGCUUGAAGUCAGGGAUAAGGGAUGCUUCCUGUGACAACUUGAAUCGCUACUCUUGCCAUUUCAUUAGGCAACUUCCAAACACAAAUUCAUACAGAGAAGUUACCUUCCUCUCUACCGCACUAGCAGGCUGGCGCUGAGAUGGGCAGGUGCUGCAGCAGCCCCGCUGGAAGCGAUGCAGCAUCCAGAACGACGGAGGAAGGGGCGGAGAGGGACCUCUGCUUUCCAGGCUGCCUUUUAUACUGCCUCUGGUCACCUGACAUGGAACGUACCCUAACCUAAUCAGUUACCUGUACCUUAAUUGCAAUUAACUUAAUCCAGUUACAUGACCUGGAAAGGUCUAUCUGCACAGCCCACUCUAAGAUCCUGUCCACUGCUGACAGACAUUCUAAAACCUACUUGUACAGCUGCAAGCUUUGAACAAUAGAUGUUCCCCGUCAGACAUGUAACACUGGUGCCUGUAUCCCUGUCUUCUUUUCCAUCUUUUUUGUUGUUUUGUUUUGUUUCGUUUUAAAAAAUGUGGUAAAAUAGACACCUUUUAAUUGGACCACAUUUUGUCUCUCUCGACGUAGGCCUCAGUGUCAUCAAGGAGACUCUCCUUGACAUGCAGUCACGGCCAUGAUCCAUCUUCAGAGCUUCUCUUUCUUCCCCAAGGUAAGUCUGUCAGCAGAGAACCCUGACCGCACCCUCAUGUGUUUUCUCCCCCAGGAGGCGCUUGGAAACCACCGUGAAUUGGACCGCACUGGGAAACACAGAUGAGGAAAGUCAACAACGCUUUGUCCUUCAGUGCCUGCCUCCUUUUUCAGCUCGUCUUGCGACUCCCGGACGCCUGUGAGGCUCUAAUUCCCUGGGUCCCAUUGCCAUGUCUCUGGAUUUGCGAAGAUCCACCGCACCUUCUGUGGAACUCCCGUGUCGGUGAACUUUUGUGCCACGGCCCCUAAUUCUGCCCAUGGUCAUCCGCACCUGCACGACUUAGGGUCCAUGUUCCUUGGACGGGAAGAGACAGGCAGGAGUCGGAAUGAUGAACCAGCACACUGGGGCGUUUUCUCAUGUAGCCCAAGUGACCCCAUGGUCUUCUCGAGCUUUGGAACCAGUCGCGUCCCCUUUGACACUGCACCCGGCUCCCAGUCUCUCAAUCUUGUUGGCCCUCCGGCGAUCUCCCGUUGGAUGAAUUGCUCCUGCUGAAACUCCAGUCCCCUUUGAUUUGCGCUUCAUUAAUUAUUCAUGAUUCAGGUUGGAAGGCCUGCUGACGACCCCCUGUGGCCGUUCUCUGAGCUUUCCUGUCACAUCGUUUCCUUCCACGCUCUUUGGUUCCUUAUGGUCCUGCUCCCUCUGCUGUCAGAGGAGCAGAGAGUUGAUCUUAUUCAUUCUGGAUACGGAUACUUUCUAGGUGAUCUGGAUAAUCAAGAUAACGACCCUCAACAGCGGCGGAGAGGGAGCAGCCAGUUGGUGUGUCUCAGAAAAUCCCACUGAGUUCCGAGGCCUCCUAGAUGUGGAAUCCUGCUGAGAGUUGUUCCCAGGUCAGAGAAUGGAGAGAGCCUGUGCAUGAUGGGACAUCCCCGCCUAGAUCUUUCAGUGAGUCUCUACCUCAGCUACUCUUAGGAUCAGGGGGAGAACCAUGGUGUCAGACAUCCGGAAAGAAGACGGGAUGAAUGUUUUACCUCUGAAGUACAUCCCAAAUGUGGGAGUUAACUUCAGCUUUGCUGGGGUCUAUUUGGCCAGUGAAACUCUGCCUGGUUCCUUCGCACAUCCGGAAGCCACUUCACGGGGGGCCGUCGCAACUGGAACCACACACUUGGCAUCGGCGGUUGAGCCAAAUGGGGACUCGUGGUGCAAGCAACGCUCCCCACGUGUUAGCGUGCGUGAGAUGCGGUUGGCGGAAUUUUACUAGGUGCGUGUUGGUAGAGUGGGGCUGAGGUUUUCUUGCUCCUGUGGAUGUAUAGCAAGUCAAAGGUCCUGCCCAGCCCUGCGGUCCCCUCAGUCAACUCUGUUUCGGAGACGUAACGAUUUGGAUUGCCAACAAGUCAAGAAAUGUUCAAGCCCUUGGAUGUAGGGUAAAGAAAGAGAGAUCAGACUGUCACUGUGUCUAUGUAGAAGGGGAAGACAUAAGAGACUCCAUUUUGAAAAAGACCUGUAGUUUAAACAAUUGCUUUGCUGAGAUGUUGAUCAUUUGUAGCUUUGCCGCAGCCCCUUCCUUUGACCCAACUUGGAGCUCACAAAAACCUGUGUUGUAUAAAAUCGAGGUUUAAGGGAUCUAGGGCUGUGCAGGACGCGCCUUGUUAACCAAAUGUUUACGAGCAGUAUACUUGGUAGGAGUCAUUGCCAUUCCCUAGUCUCAAUAAACCAGGGGCGCAAUGCACCGUGGAAAGCCACAGGGACCUCUGCCCUUGAAAGCAGGGUAUUGUCCAAGGUUUCUCCCCAUGUGACAGUCUGAAAUAUGGCCUCGUGGGAUGGGAAAGACCUGACUGUCCCCCAGCCUGACACCCGCAAUGGGUCUGUGCUGAGGUGGAUUAGUCAAAGAGGAAAGCCUCUUGCAGUUCAGAUGGAGGAAGGCCACUGUCUCCUGCUUGCCCCUGGGAACUGAAUGUCUCGGUGUAAAGCCCGAUCGUACAUUUGUUCAACUCUGAGCUCGGAGAAAAGCUGCCCUGUGGCGGGAGGCGAGACAUGUUGGCAGUAAUGCUGCCUUGUUAUUCUUUACUCCGCUGAGAUAUUUGUGUGGAGAGAAACAUAAAUCUGGCCUACGUGCACGUCCAGGCAUAGUACCUUCCCUUGAACUUAAUAAUGAUAUGGAUUCUUUUGCUCACGUGUUUGUUUUUGUUGUUGCUGUUGAACUUCCCCUUAUUAUCACCCUGCUCCCCUACUGCAUUCCUUUGUGCUGUAAUAAUGAUAAUCAUAAUCAAUAAAAACUGAGGGAACUCAGAGGCCGGUGCCGGUGCAGGUCCUAGGUGUGCUGAGUGCCGGUCCCCUGGACCCACUGUUGUCUCCCUAUACUUUGUCUCUGUGUCUUAUUUCUAUUCUCCAUCUCUCAUCCCACCCGACUAGAAACACCCACAGGUGUGGAGGGGCAGGCCACCCCUUCACUUGGAAAAUCAGUUACACACAAACACGGAAUGAGAGUCAAAAGACAAUAUGUCAUCUUUUUGAGAAUUUUAUUCACUUCAAAACCAAUUAAACACACAUAUGUACAAAGGCAUUCCAGAGCCCAGUUUUCGAGGCUGAGGAAAGACCCCGAGAGCGCUUCACACAGCACGCUUCCCAGCGUCCGAAACUCUGCUCUCAGGGCGGGGCACAGAGGAAGGGCUGCACCUCUCAGGGUUCCCUAACUUUUCCCUUAUUCAGUCAUCUAGAGAGCAAAUACACAGUAAUUCCCCAGUUUCCUAUUGACGUCCCAGCGGAAGUCUGACUCCUGCGCGUCACGCAGUUUCUGAGGCAACGAAUCUCUGGCACGGAAGCUUUUCCUGGCGCGUUUCGGGAGAACCACGCCAACUACAACGUCCCUCACCAGAAUUCAAUGAGGCAGAGUCCCUGCAUCUGCUCCCUGCCUGGCCUGGGCUCCCACAUCCACAGAAGCGCCACAGCCGGGGAGCUUCGGAGUCACCGCACAGAGUCUGCUCUCUGCUCUGCGCUCCUCAGUCCCACAGUCCCCUCCAAGUCACGGGAGCUGGAGGCCAAGGAGCCCCUGCCACCUGCAGUCUCACUCCAGGUCAGAAUCGCUGUCCUCUGAGGAGGAGGAAACCUGAAGGUCCUCAUAGAGGACGCUCGGUGGGACACGAACACAGGGAGCCUCAGACUUCUCUGACACAUGAGGGCUCUGAGCGAGGAAGGCUCCCGGCUUCUCAGGAGAGUGAAAUGAGGGGGCCGCCAGGAGGCUGGAGCUCCAGCGUCCGUUUUCCAGUCUCCGGAAGAGCACUCUGAGAGGCUGGGCCCCAUCAUGGCUGGCCGCUGGGUGAUGGGACAUGGUGCAGGCCUGGGCAGUGGGCAGGCAAGGUCUGCUGUGCGGAGGCUGCCGGUCGACGCUGGGCACCUGGGCCGGUGUCCUCCUGCCCAUCUGGGGCGACGUACUUGGUCCAAGUUCGGUUGCGGCUGGCGGAGGUUGGAGAUUCUCCGGGGCCCCCAGCUCACCUCCCUGGAUGGCGCUUUCGGGGAUCUGGAAGGGACCCAGUCUCGGUUUCUUGGGGAAGUUCAGGCAAGCCUGAAUCGGAGCCUGGGCAGGUCUCUUGGCUCCUGGCCCGAAGCUGAGAUUGGAGCCUAGGCCCAAGCUGUGUGUGGCGGCUGGCGGGCAGGGCUGUGAGGUCACCGCAGGACGUUUGUCUUGUGCCUGGGGUCUGGCGGCCUGGAGCAGGCCGUGGGUUUUGGAGGCAGCCUGGGGAACUUCUCGGCAGCCACCCUCGGGGCGGCUGUGUGUCGGCUUCACCACGAGGAGAGGCUCGCGGCCCUGGUGCCUGACUGCAGGCUGAGGCAUGUCGGCCGCAGCCCCUGUCUGUCUUUCCUUUGGUCCAAGACUUGAGGAGGAGCUCAGGCUGGCUUUUCUGAGGGGAGACAGUGAAGCCAAGACGGAGCCCCUGCCAGACAUUUCGGUAGCUGAGCGAUCAGCGAGGACAGGGUCCAAGCGCGGCCUCUUACUGGUUGUGUGGACCGGCAUUGGCCCGCUUGCAACCUGAAAGAGAGGAAACAACACAGGUUAGAAGUUCCUCAGCAUGGAGCCAACGUGAAAAUCAAGCACAUCCAAAGACAAGGUGCACACGCCAUGAAAUUCUUAGUACAGUAUCGACAGGCGGUCCUUGGAAGUAGGGACAGACCCUCCACCUGAGUGCUGAUCAGGACAAGACACAUGAAAGAUGCGCUCUCGAGCUAUGUGUAGCUGAUCUAAGCACACCAUUGUUCAAAAGAUCGCGUCUUGGGCAUUAACUGGAUCAAAGCGCCUCCACUCAGCCUUCCAUGAAGUGGAACGGACUAAUGCCCUUCCCAAGGCAGGUUGCUGGCUCAAGGGUACUCGGGACGUCUUCUCUGAACACAUGCAUGUUCCUGGGUUUCGCCUUCUCCACGUUUGGGGCCUCUGAGGGACUAAUUUCCUCAUGCCGCUAGGAACGUGUUGUUGGCAGGCUUGCCAUAAUUGGACAGAAAGAAAGCAACAGGAAAUACGGCAUGUUCAGAUGCCUUCGCCUGGAAUCCAAUUGACCUGGAAGGAUCGUGGAGUCCCUGACCCCAAGAAGGCAAGAAAGAGGGGUUCCCCGAUUUCCUCCCGCAGACGGGAAGCUGAAAGGAAAUCAACCAGGGUGACCUAGAGGAGAAAAAGACCAGGGGCCCGGGGUGACACUCGCCCUCAGAUAAUCAGAAGGUUCCGUGGAUCCUUUUCCAUUCGGCAGCGGCUUCUCUGGAGGUUUCCCGGAAAACAUGUGGAGGAGAGCCUUCCUCUGCGGGUCUUGUUGCCUGCAGAACAGAAAAAGGUCAGGCCGUGCCCCCUGGUUUUCCCCAGGAGACAGGGAGAACCCCGUCUGGGGCCCAGCCCCAUUCCGUGUCUUGUGAUACAGAAAUGGACAUCUGGUGCCCUUUCCGCCUCUGCACCUUCCCUCACGUGCCAACCUUCCCAUCCUCCAGGUGGCCCUCUAGGCUUCCCAACUAAGGACUGUGAUUUGGAUUCCAUCGCUUUUCCCGCUGUCGCGGGGAACCUGCACGAAGCGCCCCCGCCUCUCCCCGUCCCUGAAUCUCCCAGAGCCCAAGGAGCUCCUGGGUGUGGAACCCCGGAGGACACGGAGCUCCGGCCUAUUUCUCUGCAGCGUUCCUUCCCUGGCCCGGAGACGGAAAGGCACACGGUGUGCAGGUGCAGAGACACCAUGUCCUUAGGAGGCAGUACCCCAAGAGUGGUGAAAACCCCUCCCACUGCUCACCUUGGUCUCUCUUCCUUCUCUCCCUUAUCCUUGUUCAAGGGCCCCGGGUUGGCUUCACCCCGGGGCUUCCAUGGUUUCAGGUUUUCCUUCCCUUCCUUUUUCCCCAAGGUCGCUGGAACCAGGGCUGCCUUCCAGCACUUCAUGGGGCACCUGGUACUUCUGGCCGUGUGGCCAAAGGCCCCGCAGUUUUUGCACUUGAGCUGUGGGUGGAAAGGAAGUGAUGUCAGUGAGUGAGCUGAAGCCACAGGCAGCGAUCCCACGUCAACAUUGGGACGGAUUGUGAAUUCAGAGCUGAAUAAGGAUUCCAAAGAGGGGACACCGGCAUGGGGGCCGUUAAGUGCUGGGAGAGUUCGGAUACGAUGUUCCCUCGCAAAGCCCGUGUGACGGAGGAACUCUGAAAGGAAGGACUCAAGGUUCCAAGGGGCACGAUGGUGAAGCCGAUGUCAACAACGCAGCCAAACGUGGCUACACAGGACUCUAAGUAGAAAGGGAGGUUGCCCCCAAGAGUCUCUCAAGGGACCUAUCGGGCCGGGGAGAAGGUCCCAAGCCACGCCCACCUUGGAUGGGAAAAGCAACCUGGCUGGUGGUGACAGAACUCUUUGGAAUCCAACCCAGUCUCUGAGGACCGUGGGACACCCCCUCCCCCCGUCCCCACCCCCACCCCGAUACCCAAGAGAUCCAGGGCUAGACUUACCCUGGGAUCUUCUUCAUCGGGCGGGGGAGCCCUUGGCCCAACUGGGGCCCUCCGCUGCUUCUGGAGGGUCUGGGCUCUCACCAGUCUCUUGGCCCAAGAUGUGGGGUCCCGACGUGCCAUCAUCUUCGUCUCCUGGGGGUUUUAUGACCGCCUUUUUCAGGGGUGGACUGUUGGGCCACCUGAAACACACACAAACACACACAUGUCGAUGGUUAAGCACGUUGGAUAUUCACACACCCACAGGAAGCCACCUGCUAACUCCCUGCCUGUGUGGUCAUGAGGAGACCUCACCACCAGUCGGUCAAAUCUGUAGAACACAAUGUGCUGCGCGCAUCCUCGGAUAUUGUGUGUUCCUCUGCCAUGACUACCUAGUCCAAGAGUAAACCCCACCUGCCACAGGGCCCGUGGCCUAGGUAUGGGGGGUUGAGCUUUCAACCCCAAACAAACAACUGAUUCUGGAGACUGGACUUAGGUCUCUCACGAUUCACUCCGGUAGAAGACACGGUGAUUCUAUCUCCCUUGACGGACAGAAUGAUCGAAGACACAGGGCAUGGCGUGUGCCACCCUUUGGCAGGUCUGCUUGAAGUCAGGGAUAAGGGAUGCUUCCUGUGACAACUUGAAUCGCUACUCUUGCCAUUUCAUUAGGCAACUUCCAAACACAAAUUCAUACAGAGAAGUUACCUUCCUCUCUACCGCACUAGCAGGCUGGCGCUGAGAUGGGCAGGUGCUGCAGCAGCCCCGCUGGAAGCGAUGCAGCAUCCAGAACGACGGAGGAAGGGGCGGAGAGGGACCUCCGCUUUCCAGGCUGCCUUUUAUACUGCCUCUGGUCACCUGACAUGGAACGUACCCUAACCUAAUCAGUUACCUGUACCUUAAUUGCAAUUAACUUAAUCCAAUUACAUGACCUGGAAAGGUCUAUCUGCACAGCCCACUCUAAGAUCCUGUCCACUGCUGACAGACAUUCUAAAACCUACUUGUACAGCUGCAAGCUUUGAACAAUAGAUGUUCCCCGUCAGACAUGUAACACUGGUGCCUGUACCCCUGUCUUCCUUUCCAUCUUUUUUGUUGUUUUGUUUUGUUUCGUUUUAAAAAAUGUGGUAAAAUAGACACCUUUUAAUUGGACCACAUUUUGUCUCUCUCGACGUAGGCCUCAGUGUCAUCAAGGAGACUCUCCUUGACAUGCAGUCACGGCCAUGAUCCAUCUUCAGAGCUUCUCUUUCUUCCCCAAGGUAAGUCUGUCAGCAGAGAACCCUGACCGCACCCUCAUGUGUUUUCUCCCCCAGGAGGCGCUUGGAAACCACCGUGAAUUGGACCGCACUGGGAAACACAGAUGAGGAAAGUCAACAACGCUUUGUCCUUCAGUGCCUGGCUCCUUUUUCAGCUCGUCUUGCGACUCCCGGACGCCUGUGAGGCUCUAAUUCCCUGGGUCCCAUUGCCAUGUCUCUGGAUUUGCGAAGAUCCACCGCACCUUCUGUGGAACUCCCGUGUCGGUGAACUUUUGUGCCACGGCCCCUAAUUCUGCCCAUGGUCAUCCGCACCUGCACGACUUAGGGUCCAUGUUCCUUGGACGGGAAGAGACAGGCAGGAGUCGGAAUGAUGAACCAGCACACUGGGGCGUUUUCUCAUGUAGCCCAAGUGACCCCAUGGUCUUCUCGAGCUUUGGAACCAGUCGCGUCCCCUUUGACACUGCACCCGGCUCCCAGUCUCUCAAUCUUGUUGGCCCUCCGGCGAUCUCCCGUUGGAUGAAUUGCUCCUGCUGAAACUCCAGUCCCCUUUGAUUUGCGCUUCAUUAAUUAUUCAUGAUUCAGGUUGGAAGGCCUGCUGACGACCCCCUGUGGCCGUUCUCUGAGCUUUCCUGUCACAUCGUUUCCUUCCACGCUCUUUGGUUCCUUAUGGUCCUGCUCCCUCUGCUGUCAGAGGAGCAGAGAGUUGAUCUUAUUCAUUCUGGAUACGGAUACUUUCUAGGUGAUCUGGAUAAUCAAGAUAACGACCCUCAACAGCGGCGGAGAGGGAGCAGCCAGUUGGUGUGUCUCAGAAAAUCCCACUGAGUUCCGAGGCCUCCUAGAUGUGGAAUCCUGCUGAGAGUUGUUCCCAGGUCAGAGAAUGGAGAGAGCCUGUGCAUGAUGGGAUAUCCCUGCCUAGAUCUUUCAGUGAGUCUCUACCUCAGCUACUCUUAGGAUCAGGGGGAGAACCAUGGUGUCAGACAUCCGGAAAGAAGACGGGAUGAAUGUUUUACCUCUGAAGUACAUCCCAAAUGUGGGAGUUAACUUCAGCUUUGCUGGGGUCUAUUUGGCCAGUGAAACUCUGCCUGGUUCCUUCGCACAUCCGGAAGCCACUUCACGGGGGGCCGUCGCAACUGGAACCACACACUUGGCAUCGGCGGUUGAGCCAAAUGGGGACUCGUGGUGCAAGCAACGCUCCCCACGUGUUAGCGUGCGUGAGAUGCGGUUGGCGGGAUUUUACUAGGUGCGUGUUGGUAGAGUGGGGCUGAGGUUUUCUUGCUCCUGUGGAUGUAUAGCAAGUCAAAGGUCCUGCCCAGCCCUGCGGUCCCCUCAGUCAACUCUGUUUCGGAGACGUAACGAUUUGGAUUGCCAACAAGUCAAGAAAUGUUCAAGCCCUUGGAUGUAGGGUAAAGAAAGAGAGAUCAGACUGUCACUGUGUCUAUGUAGAAGGGGAAGACAUAAGAGACUCCAUUUUGAAAAAGACCUGUAGUUUAAACAAUUGCUUUGCUGAGAUGUUGAUCAUUUGUAGCUUUGCCGCAGCCCCUUCCUUUGACCCAACUUGGAGCUCACAAAAACCUGUGUUGUAUAAAAUCGAGGUUUAAGGGAUCUAGGGCUGUGCAGGACGCGCCUUGUUAACCAAAUGUUUACGAGCAGUAUACUUGGUAGGAGUCAUUGCCAUUCCCUAGUCUCAAUAAACCAGGGGCGCAAUGCACCGUGGAAAGCCACAGGGACCUCUGCCCUUGAAAGCAGGGUAUUGUCCAAGGUUUCUCCCCAUGUGACAGUCUGAAAUAUGGCCUCGUGGGAUGGGAAAGACCUGACUGUCCCCCAGCCUGACACCCGCAAUGGGUCUGUGCUGAGGUGGAUUAGUCAAAGAGGAAAGCCUCUUGCAGUUCAGAUGGAGGAAGGCCACUGUCUCCUGCUUGCCCCUGGGAACUGAAUGUCUCGGUGUAAAGCCCGAUCGUACAUUUGUUCAACUCUGAGCUCGGAGAAAAGCUGCCCUGUGGCGGGAGGCGAGACAUGUUGGCAGUAAUGCUGCCUUGUUAUUCUUUACUCCGCUGAGAUAUUUGUGUGGAGAGAAACAUAAAUCUGGCCUACGUGCACGUCCAGGCAUAGUACCUUCCCUUGAACUUAAUAAUGAUAUGGAUUCUUUUGCUCACGUGUUUGUUUUUGUUGUUGCUGUUGAACUUCCCCUUAUUAUCACCCUGCUCCCCUACUGCAUUCCUUUGUGCUGUAAUAAUGAUAAUCAUAAUCAAUAAAAACUGAGGGAACUCAGAGGCCGGUGCCGGUGCAGGUCCUAGGUGUGCUGAGUGCCGGUCCCCUGGACCCACUGUUGUCUCCCUAUA